rnacentral:rRNA from 1 species
GAUUGAACGCUGGCGGCAUGCCUUCCACAUGCAAGUCGAACGGCAGCACGGGUGCUUGCACCUGGUGGCGAGUGGCGAACGGGUGAGUAAUACAUCGGAACAUGUCCUGUAGUGGGGGAUAGCCCGGCGAAAGCCGGAUUAAUACCGCAUACGAUCUACGGAUGAAAGCGGGGGACCUUCGGGCCUCGCGCUAUAGGGUUGGCCGAUGGCUGAUUAGCUAGUUGGUGGGGUAAAGGCCUACCAAGGCGACGAUCAGUAGCUGGUCUGAGAGGACGACCAGCCACCCGGGGGAGGAGCACCGGCCAAGACCCCAAGGGGGGGCAGCGGGGGGGAAUUUUGGAAAAGGGGGGAAGGCCUAAACCAGAAAUGCCGGGGUGGUGAAGAAGGCCUUCGGGUUGAAAAGCCUUUUUGCCCGAAAAAAAAUCCUUGCCCCUAAUACGGGGGGGGGUUGACGGUACGGGAAAAAUAAGCCCCGGCGAACUACG